rnacentral:rRNA from 1 species
UGGGGAAUAUUGGACAAUGGGCGAAAGCCUGAUCCAGCCAUGCCGCGUGUGUGAAGAAGGUCUUCGGAUUGUAAAGCACUUUAAGUUGGAAGGAGGGGCAGUAAGCGAAUACCUUGCUGUUUUGCCGUUACCGACAGAAUAAGCACCGGCUAACUCUGUCCCCGCAGCCGCGGUAAUACAGAGGGUGCAAGCGUUAAUCGGAAUUACUGGGCGUAAAGCGCGCGUAGGUGGUUCGUUAAGUUGAAUGUGAAAGCCCCGGGCUCAACCUGGGAACUGCAUCCAAAACGGGCGAGCUAGAGUAGGGCAGAGGGUGGUGGAAUUUCCUGUGUAGCGGAGAAAUGCGUAGAUAUAGGAAGGAACACCAGUGGCGAAGGCGACCACCUGGGCUCAUACUGACACUGAGGUGCGAAAGCGUAGGGAGCAAACAGG